ACGUAAUACUCAACCAAUCCUUCUUAUCCUAUUAUGUAAACUUCCCUUAAGAUUCUUUCCCUUCUUCUAUAAAUACAAUUCAAAUUCAACAUAUAUUCUCUUCAACUCUUAAAUUCCCUACAAUAUUCUAAUAUAUUCCAUAGAUUCCUUUACACACUAAUGUAAACAUUGUUUUCUUCUUAAACUUCUUCUAUUCUAUUGGUCUUUACCACAAUCUUCUUCUAUUCUGUUAAUCUUUACCACAAUCUACGUAUACCUACAUACUCUUUAUCAAAAAUGACAGAUUUCAUCAAUGACAUCACAAUCACAAAAAUGCACUGGAAGUUAAAAGUCUUGGUUGUUCGCCUGUGGGAAGUGAAUGGUCGAUUUAAUCCUAGUGCUUUGUACGCAAUUGAAAUGAUUCUGAAGGAUGAAUAUAUGAUGAAGAUUUGAUCAAGAAAUAUUCUCCUAAUGAAUCUGAUACCUCCCGUGACCAUCACUUUACCAAUUCUGAAGAAUCAUAUGCUGAGAAGGAUUACAAGGAAUCCACCAAAGACAGUGACAUGUUAACUUCUUGAAGACGUAUGCAAAGAGUAAUAGAUUUUCCAAGAAGGAUAAAUCUAUCAUAGUUGAUAAAAAUGUCCAUGGUCAACUCUCAAGCAACAAGAUCCACAAAGGCGCUAAAAAGAAAAACAAAUUGUCAUCAGCUGCCUCUAAAUGAAUUAUCUUACAAUGUUUCUGUAAUAUAAUACUUUAUAUUAAUCUAGCAGUUUGUUAGGGUUAGUGACAUAUAUCAUAAGUUAUUUAUAUCCUGUUAAGGUGAUACAUUUCAUACCUUUUUAUAUUACAUACAAAUAAGUGUUUUCUACAAUAUUCUAUGCUUUGUGAUCUUCAAACACAAGUUUCAAUCAUUUCUUACAUAAUAUAUAUGUCACACUGUCAAUGUGAAUAUACAAAAAUUAUGUAGGAAACAA